rnacentral:rRNA from 1 species
AUGGGGACGCGUUCGGAGGAGCUCGCUGCCAGGUUGGCGGCCGGGGGCCCCGGCGGCGUCGGCGGACCAGCAGGAGGAGGAUGCGGGGAGGGGCAGCACGAGCGGGUGGUCGCGCUCCGCGAGAUCAAGAACCAGACCUUCGGGAACCAGACCAAGAAGCUCCUCUACCUCCGCCUGGGUGUCGUGUUAGCGGUCGUCACGGCGCGUCACCAGCCAUGCUCGUCCAUGAGCGGCCGCGGCGGAGUACUUUGCUUGCGGCGUAGACGAUGGCGCGCAUGCCGUGCUUGCUGCUGGAGCCGUGGGGCACCUCCUCGCCCACCCCGAUAA